rnacentral:lncRNA from 1 species
AUUUUUAUAAUUUAAAUAGAUAUGUAUGAAUAAUAUUAAGGGAAAUUGCCAAAAAUACCAUUUUCAAAGUACCACUUUUCAUGUUUACACUAAUCACUUUUAUUUCAUGUUUACGCUAAUCACUUUUACCCUCAUCUUUAAUGAAUGGUAAAAGACAUUUAUAACCUUUUGAUUACUUUUGACACAAAAAAACAUAAGGUUAACUAAUCUAAACUUAAAACAUCAACUCUAAACCCUAAAUCAUCAACUCUAAACCCUAAACCCCGAAACAUCAACUCUAAACCCUAAAACUUCAAAUCUAAACCCUAAAACUUCAAAUCUAAACCCUAAAACAUCAACUCUAAACCCCAAACAUAAACCCUAAACCCUAAAUCUAAACUUAAAACAUCAACUUUAAACCCUACAU